CAGUCGCCGCGGUAAUACGAAGGGUGCAAGCGUUAAUCGGAAUUACUGGGCGUAAAGCGUGCGUAGGCGGUGAGUUAAGUCUGCUGUGAAAUCCCCGGGCUCAACCUGGGAAUGGCAGUGGAUACUGGCUCGCUAGAGUGUGUCAGAGGAUGGUGGAAUUCCCGGUGUAGCGGUGAAAUGCGUAGAGAUGUGGAGGAACACCGAUGGCGAAGGCAGCCCCCUGGGCCAAUACUGACGCUCAUGCACGAAAGCGUGGGGAGCGAACAGGAUUAGAUACCCCAGUAGUCCCUGUCUCUUAUAC
rnacentral:rRNA from 1 species